rnacentral:lncRNA from 1 species
ACUCAGUAACUUUUAACCCAUUAGUAUCCACUAGAAAUAUCAUUUCACUACAAGAAAAGAAAAAAGUUUUUUUGCCUCAAGGACGUGCCGCCACAAAUAAUCACCUUUCCGUUGUAAAAAAUUUUUGCCCCGGAGGACUAGGUGGCAAUUGGUGGGUUUGCAAGAGCUUUUUGCGGUGGCAUCAGACCAUGGCAAAUACUGUAGCCACACUUUACAAUCAAUAAUCCUAAGUCAAAAAAUGAGUCACGAUCGACCACUUGAAUGAUAUUGACAGCAUCCUUCAAACCUAAUGGGAAAAUUGUUACUCGAAAACAUAAACCCCUCAUGGCUUAAAAAUUUUCACCAUGGUCUAGUCAAAUCUAUAGUACCAUUAAAAAUGAUUCUGUCAAAUUGAAAUGUUAAAGGAUGCACACAAAUCAUAAUAUUAAGUCUGCCUAGGCGUCAAAAUUGUGGGAAAAACAAAUUUUCACUUGGCUGGUAGUUCAGUAGCUAUUUGGUGAGUUAAAAAGAGGAUAUUCUUAUUCAAGGGAAGAAUAAUGACGGAGGGACAUCCUUUCUCUUCCAGAUCAGAAGAAUAUACAACACAUCUGCAUCUACAUUAUCAAUCUCCUCUCUCUCCCAACUUUAAAAUCUUUCAGAUAUUUCUAAGUAACAUCCCUAAUAAACUUGGCAUUGGUCCAAAGUCGUGCAGCAUUAAAGCCUAUCAUGUCCCUCUCUUCCAUCUUUAAAAUCUUUCAGAUAUUUCAAGAAAACAUCCCUAAUAAACUUGAUAUUGAUCCAAAGUCGUGUAACAUUAAAGCCUAUCAUGUCCCUCUCUCCCAUCUUUAGAAUCUUCCAAAUAUUUCAAGAACAUAUCCCUAAUAAACUUGAUAUGAUCCAAAGUCGUGAAACACCAAAGUCUAUCAUGUCCAUCUCUUCCAUCUUUAAAAUCUUUCAAAUAUUUCAAGGAAACAUCCCUAAUAAUCUUGACAAUGAUCCAAAGUCGUGUAGCAUUCAUACCCCUCUCCCAUCUUUAAAAUCUUCCAAAUAUUUCAAGAAAACAUCCCUAAUAAAUUUGAUAGUGAUCCAAAGUCGUGCAACACUAAAGUCUAUUAUGUCUCUCUCUUCCAUCUCUAAAAUCUUCCAGAUAUUUCGAGGAAACAUCCCCAUAAUCUUGGCAAUGAUUCAAAGUCGUGUAGCAUUCAUGUCCCUCUCUCCCAUCUUUAAAAUAUUUCAAAUAUUUCAAGGAAACAUCCCCAAUAUACUUGGUAGUGAUCCAAAGUCACGUAGCAUCAAAGCCUAUCAUGUCCCUGUCUCCCAUUUUUAAAAUCUUCAAGACAUUUCAAGGAAAUAUUCCUAAUAAACUUGGCAAUGAUCUAAAGCCGUGUAGCAUUAAAACCAAUCAUGUCCCUCUCUCCCAUCUUUAAAAUCUUCAAGAUAUUUCAAGGAAACAUCCUUAAUAAACUCGGGAAUGAUCCAAAGUCGUGCAGCAUUAAAGUUUACCAUGUCCCUCUAUCCCAUCUUUUAAAUCUUCCACAUAUUUCAAGGAAACAUCCCUAAUAUAGUUGGUAGUGAUCCAAAGUCAUGUAGCAUUAAAGCCUAUCCGUCCCUCUCUCCCAUCUUUAAAAUCUUCCAAAUACUUCAAGAAAACAUCCCUAAUAUUCUUGACAGUGAUCCAAAGUCGUGUAGCAUUAAAGCCUAUCAUGUCCCUCUCUCCCAUCUUUAAAAUAUUCAAUAUAUUUCAAGGAAAUAUCUCUAAUAAACUUGGCAAUGAUCCAAAGUUGUGUGGCAUUAAAGUGUAUCAUGUCCCUCUAUUCCAUCUUUAAAAUCUUCAAGAUAUUUCAAGAAAACAUCCCUAAUAUACUUGGCAGUGAUCCAAAGUCGUUUAGCAUUAAAGCCUGUUGAAAUAAAAGUUUAUUUGAUUUUGAUGAUUAAGCUAAGUCAAGUUUAAACACUGAUUAAAAUCGUAUUAAGGAAGAAAAAAUAAACAAACACAUGCUAAACUUAUAUUAGUCACAAACAAAUUUAUUUUAAGAAGAAAAGGACUACAAAGAUUGAUAAAACAACUUAGAAUUCCAAGAACUAAAGUCAACUGGUUUACAUUCGUAAAAGAAACAACAGUGGUAUUGAAAGUAAAGCUAAUCAUGUUUAAAGUGAGAAUUGAAACUCUCUACAAAUCAUAUUCAAUGCUAUCAUUCACGCAAAAAUGGUAGAAAAGCUAAAUAAAAGAUUGAACUCAAAUUGAAUAGUUAACCGCCCAAAUUGAUAAAAAGACAAAGCAUAAACUGCUAUUGUCACAAGUUCAAUCUACCGAAUUAAUUGACCAAAACUUAAGAGUUUCAACCAAAGUCUGAAGGUUCAAAAUAAUUGCCCAAGUUGCUCACUCAAAAUAUAGUUCAGACAACACCAAAGUUCACAUUAGGUCGACCAAAGUUAAAGAAGGUACAACGAGAAAGUGAAAUAGAGGACAUGCGUGCUCACUAGAAAAACAGGUUUACUACGACCAAAUUUUAUAUUCGGUCGAUUGAAGUUAAGAAAAUCACAGCUGAAUUUAAAACAGAGCAACUAAGUGCUCUCUAGAAUUGAAGAACAACGUCUAUCAAACUUGACAUUCGGUUGACCGAAAGGAAAAAGCCCUCGACCGAAGUUAUAAAUCACUUAGUAGACAGAAUGAACAAGCCAUUAGAAUUUCAUUACAACCACGAUCGAAGUUCAAGGUCGGUUGGCCGAAGGUGUCGAUUGAAGUUCGAAAAGUUGAUCCUGAUUGUCCAAAUAAAGAUUUAACGGCUGAGAUUCAAUCAGAAUGACUAGAUCAGAAGUAUCAAAUUCUGUAACGACUCUAAUAUACUUUUGGCUUAUAAAUACAAUUUUGGGGGUUGUUGGUAAUAUAUUGAAGUGCCAUAUAUUUUUAAAAUCACUUGUAUUCAAUACUUCAAUCCCUUUAUCAUUUACUUAUGAGUUUUGAUUUGUGAGAGUUAGAUCACUCUAGACAAAAAGAAAGUUUCAUUAUAAUUAUCCUUGUUCUAGAAUUGGUUAGAUAAGAGUUACUUUAACUACCACAGCUUGUUGGAAAAAUCAAUAUAAGUUCUAGUGUUUGUAAAGGUUGUGAAGAUCAAUAUAGUUCCCAAGAGAUGGAGUCUCUUGAACACUAGAAGAGUUCUAGUGUUUGUAAAGGUUGUGAAGUACCCGCAAACUUGAAGAUAAUAAAUUUUCAAGGAGAAUCUUAAAGAGUAGACGUAAAUCGAGAUUUGUCAGACCACUAUAAAUCUACGUUCCAAUCGAGUUUUAAAAAACAAUUAUAACUAAACAACGUAUAUUGCAAAUAACUAAACAUCUUCUAUUGUAGAGCACAACUUAUGUAAAACCUUGAUAAUUCAAACAUAAAAAUAAGCUUUUUAAGAUGUUCUUGACCCACAAAUAAAAAGCAAAAUUUGUGACGAGCUUUCUAAAACAUGAAAAAGCGAAAACUGCAACCACCAAAAUUGUGGGCAAUACUCCGAGGAUUCUUAGGGCAAGUAUUUGACGCUGACCUGGAACACAUGUCUCGCUCUUUGAUUAAAGCAUAUGCUCAAAUCACAUUUUUAAAGAUAAAAUCACGCUUAUUUUCAUUAUUUUACGAAUAAAAAGUUUUAAUACAUCAUUACUGCACUGUCAACACAAUUGUGAUUGGAGAGGGAAAUUUCAUUGUUUUCACCAAGUCCAAGUCUACUACUGUUGAGUUGUAAACAAAUCCAUAGUAUCAAGACCAAACCCCCCCAGUUCCCAAAUCAAAACACUUGGCCUUGAAAUAUGUUAAAUCAACAAAUUUUUUUCCAUGCAAAGUAAGUAGUGCGGUUUUGUGGAGGUUGCUGGUGAAUGAGUUAAAGGGUAUUUUUUUUAACGACCUAGUUCCUUUAAAGUUGGAAUUUGGAUUGCUCCAGUGCAAUUCAAAUUUUUUGAGUUCACUUUUGGGCUAAGUUUGAUCAUUCAAAAUGUUUAUAUUGUAAACUCUAAUGUCAAGAUCAGUAUUACAAAAAGAUCGCGUUGAUCGAACACAAUCUAGAAUCCGUUUAUUACUGUCUCAUAUUCGAAACUUCUGAAGUGUCAUCAAUUUUUAAUUUGGGUUUAAAUCCAUUGUUAAUGGACAGUGAGAUUAAUUCUUUAAAUUAGUGGGUCCUUGAGACAGAUACCGAAUUAUUAAAAAUAGUAUAUUUGUGGAAACUAUUAGUACAAUUAAUUUAUUAGGAACGAAAGAGAUUAGGAGCUUUUAGUCCCUGCUCUUUUACUCCUACUAUCCAUUGCCUUCAAAACAAAUGAAUGUGUGUAUGUUUUUAUCACUUCAAUCCAUUCCUAACAACCCCAAGGGUUAAUUUUAAAAGUUCCAAAUUGGAUAGAGACGUUGCAUCAUUAAUUGCACUAAAAAGAACCGUUCUGAUUUGAUUUCAGUCAUUGGAUCUGAGAUUUUGAUAUGCUAGAGUGAAAUUUAAAAGUUCGGUCGUGUACUUUCUAAACUUCGGUCGACCGAACUUUAACUUCAGUCAUGUUUGAACUGAAUCUCUAGUUGCUAAGUUAAUUGCUCUAUUUUACUUUCCUGAACUUCGAUCGUCCCUAAUUUGGACUUUAGACUUCGGUCAACUAAAUUUUAAGUUCGGUCGUUUUUGUACUGCAUUUUCAGGGGUUUGCUUAGAUACUCUGCUUCAUCUUUUGAAUUUGGCUUCUACCUUAAAGAUUCGGCUGUGCUCUGAACUUUGGUCGUGUACUUCUGAAUGUUCGGUCGACCAUUAAGUUGGAUUGUCAUUAGCUUGUUUUUCCAGAGAGCUUUUACUUACAUUAUUAAUUUGAGAGUUCCUAGCAUUCGGCUGUGCUUUGGGACUUCAGUUCUUGAACUUUGGUCGAUCCUUCUUGGACUUCGGUCGCCUCUGAACUGAGUUUCCUGAGAGCAUACUCUGUUCUUAACAAUAAUCUUUGUUUUGCUUGUGUUAGCAUUCGACGUUUCAAAACUCUUUUUAGAUCUACCCAAGUCUAUUUCUAAGACCACCCUUUAUUUUUUCUUUUUAUCGAUGAUUUUCAAACGCAACUUAGUUUUAAUCCUUUUGUAAUCAUCAAAAUUAAUUACUUUAUUUUAAUAAAUAUAAUUUAUUUUGUAAAAGAAAAGUGUAAUUUUUUUGAUGGUGUCAAUUGACCCCACGACCAUUGUGACAUAUACCCCGAGGAUUCUUACGGUAAGUAUUUUAGGUUGACGGAACACAUGUCUCAGUCUUUGAGUAAAGCAUACGCUCAAAAUCACAAUUUUUAAAGAUAAUUCACACUAUUUUUCAUUAUUUCACCAAUAAAAUAGUAUCAAUACAUCACUACUGUCAGCACUAUUGUGGUUGGAGAGAGAAAUUUGAUUAUUUUAUCAAGUCCAAGUCCAAGUCCAAGUCCAAGGCCAAGUCCUGCUGAGUUGUAAACAAAUACAUAGUGGCUCAAGACCAAACCCCACAGUUUCCAAAUCAAAACACUUUGGCUUUGAAAUAUGUUAAAUCAACAAUUUUUUUCCACGCAAAAUAGUUACUGUGGUUUUGUGGAGGUUGUUGGUGCAUGAGUUAUGGAUAUUUUUUUAACGACCCUGUUUCUUUGAAGUUGGAAUUUGGAUUGCACAAGUGCAAUUCAAGUUUUUUGAGUUCACUUUUGGACCCUGUUUGAUCAUUUAAAAUAUUUAUAUUGUAGACUCUGAUGCCAAGAUCAGUAUUAAAAAAAGACCACGUUGAUCGAAUAAAUUUAGAAUCCGUUCAUUACUAUCCGGAUUCGAAACUUCUUAGGUGUUACUAAUUCUUAAUUUGGGUUCAAACCCACCAUUAAUGGACAGUGAGAUUAAUUUUCUAGAUUAGUGGGUCCUUGAAUCAAAUACCGAGUUAUCAAAAAUACUAUAUUUGUGGAAACUAUUAGUACAAUUAAUUUGUUAGGAAUGUAAGAGAUUAGGAGCUUUUAGUCCCUGCUCUUUUUGGCCUACUAUCCCUUUCCUUGCAAACAUAUGUAGUGUAUCCCAUCUUUAAAAUUUUAGAACUCAGUAAUUUUCUUGUAAGUUGUAACUCAUUAGUAUCCACAAGAAAUAUCAAAAAUAGUCACCUCUCCGCCGUAAAAACUCUUUGCCACGGAAGGACUAGGUUGGCAAUUGGUGGGGUUGCAAUAACUUUUUGCGUUGACAUCAGACCAUGGCAAACACUGUUGCUACACUUUUCAACUAAUAAUCCCAAGGCAAAAAAUAACAGUAUAAAUUGUUACUCUAAAACAUUAAUCCCUCAUGGCUUAUAAAUUUUCAACAUGGUCUAGUCAAAUCCAUAUUACUAUUAAAACGAAAGAUGUUUGUCGACUUUUCAAUUCCCAAAAUGCCCUUGGUUCAAUAAAAAAAGGAAUAUUGAAGUUGUGAUUUUGUUUUUGAGGAAAAAAAAAACUUACUCUCACUUAGACACGUAAAACCAAGCCUUUUAUUUUACUCCUCCAGAAUUCAUUCUAUUCAUUCCAGCCAUAACAGACAACGCUUCGGUAAUCCUAUCAACUCCAUUGUGUCUUCUUCAAUUGCCCAAUAGCUUCUUCUUCACUCUUAUCUUCGAAAGAAACUUUCCCUUGAUUGUUUAUGCUAUCUAACCUAAAAUCAUUCAGAGAGCAGGAGAGGUGGAAAUAAUAGCAGCUUUUCUAAAUGAACCCUAUUAUUUAGGAGAUGUCUUUCUACUUGGGAAGUGGAGCAAACAUAGUCUACUUCAAAUGAAAAUUGAGGAGUGGAUUCCGGUUACGGAUAAGAAUGAUUCUCUCAAAUUGAAAUGUUAAAGGAUGCAUAUAAAUCAUAAUAUUAAGUCUGCCUUGGUGUCAAAUUGUGAUAUUUAGUAAGUUAAAAAGAGGAUAUUCUUAUUCAAGGGAGGAAUAAUGAUGGGGAUGUCUUUUCAUCUCUAGAUCAGAAGAAUAUACAACACAUUUACAUCUAUAUUAUGAAUCUCCUCUCUAUCCCAACUUUAAAAUCUUCCAGAUAUAUUAAGAAAGCAUCCCUAAUAAACUUGGCAUUGGUCCAAAAUCGUGUAGCAUUAAACCUUAUCAUGUCCCUCUCUUUCAUCUUUAAAAUCUUCAAGAUAUUUCAAAAAAACAUCCCUAAUGAACUUGACAGCGGUCCCAAGUCGUGUAGCAUUAAAUCCUAUUGUGUCCCUCACUACAAUCUUUAAAAUCUUCAAGAUAUUUCAAGGAAACAUCCCUAAUAAACUUGACAAUGAUCCAAAGUUGUGUAGCAUUCUCUCCCAUAUUUAAAAUCGUCAAGAUAUUUUAUAGAAACAUCCCUAAUAAACUUGAUUGUGAUUCAAAGUAGCGUGUUAUGUCCCUCUCUUUUAAAGUAUAAUUUAUUUAUUUAUUUUAUUAAUUAAUUCCAGAUAUCAAGUCAACACAUGGUAGGCUUUUAAAAUUACAUUUUGUGGCUGAAGAUGGUACCUUGUCAUUCAAAAUAUUGACCCUUGCCGAUGGUGUGAAUUGACUGCAAGCGGAGGACAAUUACACACAUUGUCUUGGCCUUGGGAUAUUUCUCAUCUAAACUAAAAAUUUGGACUGUAAAUGGUGGCAGUUGACAAAAUGGGCCCAUCAAUGGAUGAGUACUAACAAAAGAAUUUAUUAAAAACCGAAAGAUCUCUUAAAAAAGCCAAAAUUUUGGAGACUUGUUAGACAUAUAAUUUGGGGCCAAUUUUGAACAAAAACAAAUGAGGAAUUCAUACGUCUUUUUAACCGGAUCCAAAUUCGAAUAUGCUUAUCUAUGUGAGAUGAUUAACAUCCGAUAUUUUUUUUAUUCAAAACGAAUAAAGAGUGAAUGAAAAAUUGACACCAAAAUUCACUAGUUGAAUAUUAGGUGAAGAAUGGUUAAAAAAAUUGUUCCGCAUUGGUCAUUUAUGAGACCUUUAGUGGGUUUACAGGCUUCUCCUUGAACUUGGGCUUGGACUAAGGGGCAACCAGGUUCUGUGGAGGAGGGAGGACCUAGCACCUUAUGUGUUGACCUUUUCAAAAGUUUUUAUUUUUCAGCACCUUAUUAUUUUUUAUAUAUGAUUUUAAAGCGGUUCAAAAGUUUCUUAUAGUUGUGGUAAUUGGGUCCUUUCAUUACGUAGUUCGGCCAUAUGCUUACGUAUAUGGGCAGUCAAAUGAGCAAAAACUUUCAUUAACAAAUUAAACGAUUGCUCUGAAGAGUUACAAAGGAGAAUUGUGUGAAGAACUUUCUCUCCAAAGCCCCACCAAAAUCAAAUAUAAAUUUUCUCCAAACCUUAACUAGAAUCAAACCAAAAACUUUGUCAAACAAAAGGAUUAAAGAUUCAACCAAAGUCCUCAAUUGUGGCACCAAAGGAACUACAAAGUUCGUCCAAAUACUAAGGGUCAACCCAGUCCCCUAUAGGGGGCUUCAAAGGAACUAUGAAGUUUAACAAAUAUGAGAGUCUUUCCAAAUUUAUAACUAUGGAAUCCCUCAUAAAAAGAUAGUGUAUGGAAAUCUAUUACUUUCUUGUAGUGAUUUCUUUUAUUUUACUUUUUGAUUUAUUUCUAAAAUAUGCAGGGUUCCAUUUUAAGAGUUCGCUUAGGAAAAGCUUAGGGCCGGCCCCUGAUUAGAUUCAUGUAUAAGUCAGUAAAUAAAGAGAUUUCAUGCACUGUUGAUUCACUGUGAAAACAAAUUGAAGUAUUUUAUUUGUUCAGCGUACAAUCACUGUAUUUCAAGAGACAGACAUCUAAAACAGUAAACACAGUGAUGAAGGAAAAUUCUGCAUUCAAGGACAUAGUGUUAAACACGAGCCUUGAUUAUUCUCCUUCGAAUUGCUCAUUGCAGAUUCUACAAUUAUUUAUACAAAGCAUAUCUUCUUCUGCAAUCAGUCUUUUGUGUUCAAACCACAGGAUCUGUUUCUGAUUUUGUCUCUAAAGUAAUUGUUGUUUCCAAAACAGUUUUGUGUUAUGUUUAUGCAAAAUUAGAGUUUUUAAAUAAUUUAGUUUCUGCAAAUUAAAUCUGUUUCUAUAAUUAUAUAUAUCCAAAUGUAUGGAAUGAUUUUUCCUUUUAGCUCUCAUUCAUAUUGAUACUAGCGGAGGUACUAGACCUCAUAGGAAUCAAACUAAGUAAUUGUGGGGUUGUUGUUAUACGAAAGGAGGAGAGGAAAUCGAGGAUAGACACCCGCGGUGGUCCUAGAGCUGCGUGGGUGGCUCUGGCCUCCUGAGCGACUGACUUGUGAUGCCUUGCUUGUGAGCACAACAACAGUAAGAAUGGUCGCCGGAGUUGUUUUUGAGAAAUAGCUCUCUGACGGUCAAGUUAGACGUCUAGAAUCAUAGAGAGAGAAAGUAUGUGCAUCUUUGUUGGAGUAAAAUUUCACAUGCGUCUAUGAGAACAACCGUGUUCUCCUUUAUACCUAGACUCAGCACGUGACUCGACGUUUGCUGUGUCAGUGAGUGGGUGGCUGGCCAAGCAUCUAUGGCGUGGCUAGAAGCUUACCAUCAACUGUCGGCGUCUCCAUUAGGGCAUGGAGGCUGUCAGAAGGCACUUGCCAUGCAAAUUACCUUUUGUCCCCAAUCAUCCUUUGGGAUUAGCACUAGCCGUUACCCCUCGCCCAAGCUUUUAGCGCAGUUAUUAUUUUGAGGUCGCUAAGUAGCAGCACCUUGGGGGUAGGGAUGGGCUUAGCUCGGGAGGGCAUUCUUUUGUAGUGGUGAUUCUCCGAGCUCCGGCAUAGUGGGUCUCCGAGCUCGCCCCGUGGCGACGGUUGGUCAAAACCUCUACCCUAGCAAGGUCAAUGUCGAAUGGUGCCUAUACCAAGCUCCAGCAUAGGGAGCCACCGAGCUCACUCUGUCGAGAUAGCUCGUUGGUGGGUUCCUUCCCUAGUAGGGUCAAGUUAUGUCAUUGUAUAAUUUUUUCCCUUACGAUUGUCCCUUAGUAUGCAUGAGUUGGGUAGAUGCUUUGCCGAGAUCAUGUGAGCUGGAUGUGCUCGCUCUUUAGGUUCGGUUCUUGUUGGGCAAGCCAAGGCUUGCUAGCUAUUUUUCUUUUUUCUUUUUGUUCUGUCUGCAUCUGUCA